UCUCUGAUGGUCCAGUGGUUAAGACUCUGUGCUCCCAAUGCAGGGGGUCCAGGUUUGAUCCCUAGUCAGGGAA
rnacentral:tRNA from 1 species